rnacentral:rRNA from 1 species
AUUGAACGCUGGCGGCAGGCUUAACACAUGCAAGUCGAGCGGGGGAAGGUAGCUUGCUACCGGACCUAGCGGCGGACGGGUGAGUAAUGCUUAGGAAUCUGCCUAUUAGUGGGGGACAACAUCUCGAAAGGGAUGCUAAUACCGCAUACGUCCUACGGGAGAAAGCAGGGGAUCUUCGGACCUUGCGCUAAUAGAUGAGCCUAAGGCGGAUUAGCUAGUUGGUGGGGUAAAGGCCUACCAAGGCGACGAUCUGUAGCGGGUCUGAGAGGAUGAUCCGCCACACUGGGACUGAGACACGGCCCAGACUCCUACGGGAGGCAGCAGUGGGGAAUAUUGGACAAGAGGGGGAACCCUGAUCCAGCCAUGCCGCGGGUGUGAAGAAGGCCUUAUGGUUGUAAAGCACUUUAAGCGAGGAGGAGGCUACUUUAGUUAAUACCUAGAGAUAGUGGACGUUACUCGCAGAAUAAGCACCGGCUAACUCUGUG